AGGGCACCACCAGGAGUGGAGCCUGCGGCUUAAUUUGACUCAACACGGGGAAACUCACCCGGCCCGGACACCGUAAGGAUUGACAGAUUGAUAGCUUUUUCAUGAUUCGGUGGAUGGUGGUGCAUGGCCGUUCUUAGUUCGUGGAGCGAUUUGUCUGGUUUAUUCCGAUAACGAGCGAGACUCUAGCCUACUAAAUAGCUCGCACAUUGUCAACUUGUGUGCGCCUACUUCUUAGAGGGAUUUUCGGUGUUCAGCCGCACGAGAUUGAGCAAUAACAGGUCUGUGAUGCCCUUAGAUGUCCGGGGCUGCACGCGCGCUACACUGGCGAAAUCAGCGUGCUUAUCCUUUCUCGAAAGGGAUUGGUAAACCAUUGAAAAUUUGCCGUGAUUGGGAUCGGAAAUUGCAAUUAUUUUCCGUGAACGAGGAAUUCCAAGUAAGUGCGAGUCAUCAACUCGCGUUGAUUACGUCCCUGCCCUUUGUACACACCGCCCGUCGCUACCCGGGACUGAGCCAUUUCGA
rnacentral:rRNA from 1 species